rnacentral:lncRNA from 1 species
GAAGGAACAGCUCAGAAAAGGGCAGUGCCAGGGUGGAUGAAUGACCGACCAGCCAAAAGGCAGAUGGGGAAGGACCAACCUUUCUGAGUGAGAGAUUCUUUCCCCUCUAGCACUUCAGCUCAAACCCCUGGUCCUGCACCCUUAGCAUAGGGUGCAGCCUGCAGCCCAUCCAGAAAUCCUCGGAUGUCAAAGUAGAGGGAGUCAUACCAAGAAACAUGCAUAACAUGUGGUCAUAUAAUAAUGCUAAUCGGCACUGCAGCAGACCACUGCCACCACCAAGCACAUCAACCAUGUGUUGUGACUUUUCUUCCUCCUCUGCGAGCCCGAAGGCCACCUCAUUAGUGCUCCUGACACUGCGGAACUUUUCUUUCUCAAGGCUGUUGUCACUGGGGAUGGUUGAAAGUGACUAUUUUCCUAAGAAAACAGCUGGAGGGGACAUGGGAGCAAGAAGGUGCUUGGGAGCGCAUCUCAGUGUUGAGGCUCAAAACAGGCAGCGCCAUGGCAGAGUCAUUCCGCCGUCACCCUGAAUAAACCCCAUGCACACAGACGAGAACAAUGUCUCCUCAGAGGGAGGGUCUGGGAGACCGGACACCAUGCAGAGACCCCCAUCAGCUCAUCAGAGAGCUUCACGGAGAUGUUCUGGGAGGACAAUCACAUUCAUAAAUACGCCGGUGCCUCGGCUCUGCCGCUGACUGCAGCAUGACAUGAAGCCUUUUUUAAGAACUGGCUGCUGCCGCCAAAGCCUUCUGGGAUAUGUCUGCCUGGAACCUGGGCACCUCCUGGGAGCAGUCACUGGGUGGCCUGUCAGGGGCUGUGGGGUCCUGGGGCAGGGCCGGCAACUGGAAGCCAGCCCUGGGGAGGAAAGGAGAGAAGGGCAAGGCUGGGCUGCUUUCCUCACAGCCCCUGGACACUGAGGGAGGAGCUGAGUUGGGCCUGGGGCUGCCAUGUGUCAGACAGUGGUGAUGUGAUGGGGGGACACAGGUCAGUGGCAGGGUACUGGGAGUUUCCCCUUUCCUUUCUCAGUUCUUUGCACCCAUUUUCCAUGGGCUGCCUCCCCAGAUCCAGAAGCCCCAGCAGCCCCUCACCCCAGCAGUGGAAAAAGCCCGUCAUUGACACGGCUGUGGGUGGCCGGCUUUGCAAAAGCCUCACAUUUGGGGCUUUGGAGGGCUUUUUGCAUUUCAUCUUUACACAGGCUCCUGCACCUCAUUCCUCUUGCCCUCCUCUCAGCUUUCCUCCCACUUCCAGUUAGAGAGAUGGCAGCUCUGGCAGGACCAAAUAUUGAUGUUUAUCACAGUUUUAGGGCCAUUUGUCUCACCAUCUGAAGGGCUCAGCGCAGGCCCACGGGAUCCUCUCUCCUUGAGUGACCUCUGGGGGCAGGUAUCUGGUUUGGAUGCUGGAGCUGGUCCCUACUCUUCCCUUGGGGGCCGUGCGGCCGGGUGCUCAAGUGUUUUAACCUCAGGACCCUGAUUAGUUAUCAUGAAGCUACCCCACCAGCUCCUGGGUCUGUUCAUGGAUUAGUGGCAUAAAGGACGUAAUAUUGUUUUGCAAAAUCUGCUCUCCCUCCCAUGUCUCCUGCCCAAGAAGUUGGUCUUCGUGGGGCCAAAGGCAAGGAGGACCCGAGGAAGGAAGAGGAACCACUGUCCCCAGCCCCUGGUAUGGCAUGGCGUCAGCCUAGUGACCAGAAAUUGCUUUUGAACUCUGAGGCUUCCAGAGGACAAGAGGAAGAGGAGGACAGGGCUGCCCUGCCCACUGCUCAGCCUUGAGCCCUGCACCUGGCACAGUGCGAGGCCUCAGACAGGGUGUCAGCAGGCCCUGGCUCCCCACAUCCCAUCCUUAAACAGGCCAUGCCCUUUCUACCUGCCCCAGCAGACCAGAAAGCAGUUUCCAUGGGAAACAACAAACCUUCCUUGUGCUCCCAGGAUAAGUGUUUCUAGAGGGUGAAGUCGGGAGCCAUUCUCUCCUUUAACAUCUUGCCACCUCUGCCCAGAAUUCACAGCCACCGGCGCCUGUCUUAGCUGCCCUGGCUGUCAGCCCCACCAGAGCCCCUCCUGGCUGCUCUGCUGAAAGCUGGUCAGACUGCCUCACUCCAUCCCCUACUUAGCUCCCCUAAGGCCUAGGGGGCUCCCUACAGGCCAAGGGAUGAGGCCAGACUCAAUAGAACACCUGAUAGGCCCCCCAAGUGACCUGGCCCUGGCCGGUCACUCCCUAUGUCCCAAUUUACACCCCAGCAGCACAGAACUCCUUGCUCAAAGGGGCUAUUUUUGGCCUCUGUGCUCAUGCCAUCCCUUCUGCCUGGAAUGCCCUUCUCCACUGUCUGCCUGGCUAACUCCUGCUCAUUCUGGAAGGCUCAGCUCCUCCUGAAAGCCCUCCCUGACCCCAACCCCAGCUCCUUCCUCAGGGUGUCGUAGCACAGGGAUGCUUUUGGUCUAAUUCAGGAGAGCAUCAUGUGAUAUGCUUUUAAAGUAAUGAGUUAAAAUGUUAGACAAUAUGAAACUCUAUUAUGUGAUAUAUUAGAUUUCAUGUCAUUACAUUGUAUUAUAUUAUAUU